UUGUUGGUUAAGGUAUAAUAUAGAACCUUGGCCAGAAGUUUUGGCUAAAUGGAAGACCACUACAUGUGUAAGAAUUCCCCGCUAUAACCAGAAUACAACCACAACCAUCCAAGAAUAUUUUCAAGAAUAUAAAAUUUUAGAAAAGUCCUUAGGUUAUCAAUUACUGGAAAUUGAUUUCAAUUAUCUUUAUCCCAAAAAAUCAGAAAUAUUUUUUGCCGAAAUACAUAAAAAAAAAUAUAUUAUAUUACGAUUGGCCCAAUACCGAGGCGUACUGACUCAACAUUUUCCGGAUCAAAACAUAAAUAUUUUGAAUGACGCCACUGCUGUUCUAAGUUUAUUAACACUACCGUGUCUAAUGCCAGUAGUGAUUGUUACGACAAAUAAAAAGAAAUGGAAACCGUCUAAAGUUGAAAUAGCGAACCGUUUCAUUAUUUACGUGAAAACCAGUGAAGAGAUGCAAUUGAUGUUGGAACGAAGACAGCGAAAAUAUGCGGAAACCAAACAAUUAUGUCAACCUCUAAUAAAAAUUGUUGGACCAGAUUUGAACAACCUCAAGGACUAUAUUUCCAUCGAUAACUGUACAUAUCCUUUUGAAUCGGCCUUGAAAAGUGUAAACACUUGUUUUAAAAUAAUUCAUGCAAUUGUUGCAGAAU